AUUGAACGCUGGCGGCAGGCUUAACACAUGCAAGUCGAGCGGAGAUGAGGUGCUUGCACCUUAUCUUAGCGGCGGACGGGUGAGUAAUGCUUAGGAAUCUGCCUAUUAGUGGGGGACAACAUUCCGAAAGGAAUGCUAAUACCGCAUACGUCCUACGGGAGAAAGCAGGGGAUCUUCGGACCUUGCGCUAAUAGAUGAGCCUAAGUCGGAUUAGCUAGUUGGUGGGGUAAAGGCCUACCAAGGCGACGAUCUGUAGCGGGUCUGAGAGGAUGAUCCGCCAAACUGGGACUGAGACACGGCCCAGACUCCUACGGGAGGCAGCAGUGGGGAAUAUUGGACAAUGGGGGAAACCCUAAUCCAGCCAUGCCGCGUGUGUGAAGAAGGCCUUAUGGUUGUAAAGCACUUUAAGCGAGGAGGAGGCUACUGAGACUAAUACUCUUGGAUAGUGGACGUUACUCGCAGAAUAAGCACCGGCUAACUCUGUGCCAGCCGCCGCCGUAA
rnacentral:rRNA from 1 species